UUAACCUGGGUGGACAAGACAUAUUUGGAGUCCAUAUUUUGCUCCUUUAGUUUAGAACAAAAGCUGCUAACAUUGCUAACAAACACUGGAAGCCAACAGCAACGAUAGCUAAUAGGAUUUGUAAAUAAGUCAGAUAUCGAGCUACAUGUCCUCAAACCUCAUCUAGGUCGCGUCCCGGUGCUGUUUCUUCACUUGUCUAGUUCACAGUGAGUUAUACGACACACCGACUAGUCUGGGAGACAUUUAUUAACACUUGGAUGCGGUUUGACCGGCUUGAGAGAAGUUUGUGGGCAUGGAUUUACGAAGGCUAUAUUUGAGUUGCUGUUCACUUCGAGUGUUUGCUAGCAAGACACCCCCACACUGAAACCACAACAUGCAUGUCUGGUUCACAGAGGCAACAGGGGCCCUGUGGGCUCUGUGAAACUACACAAUGAAAAAACAGACCUCAGGUGUUCUCAGGACUCACAAGACACUACAUUACUGUAGUGACAUCCUUGCAGACUUUAGUGAAGUAUAGCUGAGAGAGUUCUGGACUGAGUUCUGGAGUCAGUGUGUGUCCACAGUGGUGGUGGAGUUCUGGGUGUAGAGUUGUCAGUGUGUGCUGGUGUCUCCAUAGUGACAAAGCUGCUGAGUUUGUGUCUUCUCUUCACUGAAGAUGCAGCAUCAUGGUCAGUGUGGGGUUGUGGGAUACAUCACAAAGGAAGAAACAACCAGAGUCCUCACAGGUCAAAGGACAUGAUGGCACUGUGUGUGGUUUUGUAUGUCUCUGUAAAGCUGGUGAUGUGAACUUGAAAAGAAACAUAAGAGCUCUGGCCAAGUUCAUUUGUUCCCAGUUCCUCUCUGCUGGGUGGACAUUAGGGUCUGGAGUACUGAAGUAAUGCUGUGAGAGUUCUGGAGUCAGUGUGUGUCCACAGUGGUAGUGGAGAUCUGGGUGUAGAGUUGUCAGUGUGUGCUGGGAGGUCAGUGGUGUUUCCAUAGAGACAAGGAUGCUCAGUUUGUGUUUUCUCUUUACUGUACUUCCUCUCACUAAAGGUGAGUGUGAAAUUCUUUCUUAAUGCUGAGUGACAUGAAACUGUACAUAUAUGUGAUAAUCUAAAAAUGUUAUUAAAGUGAGUUGAAUCAU